UUUUUAGGGGGUUGGCUCCGACUCCGCCAGGACGGUGCGAGCGGGGCAUGCGCACUGGGCCGGGCGUGCGCGGGGUGCGCGGGGGGGUGCGCGGGCUCACAAUGCCGCCCCACGUGCUGCCCGCGUGGGGAGCGGCGGCCGGCCGGGCGGAGGGGGCGCGCCCGGAGCCCUCCGAGCCCCCCCCCCCCCCGGGCGCCCCGGGACCGCCGCCGCUGUCUCAGUCACCUGGUGGCCUCUAGAAGAAGGUCGUCAGGGGCUGGUACAGACCGUGUCAGGGUUAGGGAUAUUAUUAGACCAUGAGCCAGCAGAACUCUCCAAAAAUCCAGUGGAAG